rnacentral:rRNA from 1 species
UACGGAAGGCAGCAGUGGGGAAUAUUGCACAAUGGGCGAAAGCCUGAUGCAGCUAUGCCGCGUGUAUGAAGAAGGCCUUAGGGUUGUAAAGUACUUUCAUCGGGGAGGAAAAAACAAAACUAAUAAUUUUAUUUCUUGACGUUACCCGAAAAAGAAGCACCGGCUAACUCCGUGCCAGCAGCCGCGGUAAUACGGAGGGUGCUAGCGUUAAUCAGAAUUACUGGGCGUAAAGGGCACGCAGGCGGUUAAUUAAGUUGGAUGUGAAAUCCCCGGGCUUAACCUGGGAAUGGCAUUCAAGACUGGUUAGCUAGAGUCUUGUAGAGGGGGGUAGAAUUCCAUGUGUAGCGGUGAAAUGCGUAGAGAUGUGGAGGAAUACCGGUGGCGAAGGCGGCCCCUGGACAAAGACUGACGCUCAUGUGCGAAAGCGUGGGGAGCAAACAGGGAUUAGAUACC